rnacentral:rRNA from 1 species
UGGGGGAUAUUGCACAAUGGGCGAAAGCCUGAUGCAGCGACGCCGCGUGGGGGAUGAAGGCUUUCGGGUUGUAAACCUCUUUCGCUAUCGAACAAGGCCCGCUUAGGGUGGGUUGAGGGUAGGUGGAGAAGAAGCGCCGGCUAACUACGUGCCAGCAGCCGCGGUAAUACGUAGGGCGCGAGCGUUGUCCGGAAUUAUUGGGCGUAAAGGGCUUGUAGGCGGCUUGUUGCGCCUGCUGUGAAAACGCGGGGCUUAACUUCGCGCGUGCAGUGGGUACGGGCAGGCUUGGGUGUGGUAGGGGGGACUGGAAGUCCAGGUGUAGGGGUGGAAUGCGCAGGUAUCUGGAGGAACACCGAUGGCGUAGGCAGGUCACUGGGCCAUUACUGACGCUGAGGAGCGAAAGAAUGGGUAGCGAACAGG